CCUACGGGGGGCAGCAGUGGGGGAUAUUGCACAAUGGGGGGAACCCUGAUGCAGCGACGCCGCGUGGGUGAAGAAGCGCCUCGGCGCGUAAAGCCCUGUCAGUAGGGAAGAAAAUGACGGUACCUGAAGAAGAAGCCCCGGCUAACUACGUGCCAGCAGCCGCGGUAAUACGGAGGGGGCAAGAGUUAUCCGGAUUUACUGGUUGGAAAGGGGGCGCAGACGGCGAUGCAAGCCAGGAGUGAAAGCCCGGGGCCCAACCCAGGGACUGCUCUUGGAACUGCGUGGCUGGAGUGCAGGAGGGGCAGGCGGAAUUCCUGGUGUAGCGGUGAAAUGCGUAGAUAUCAGGAGGAACACCGGUGGCGAAGGCGGCCUGCUGGACUGCAACUGACGUUGAGGCCCGAAAGCGUGGGGAGCAAACAGGAUUAGAUACCCUUGUAGUC
rnacentral:rRNA from 1 species